GAGAUGGUUUACCCUGAUAUGGCGCCAAGCUUGUUGAAGGUUGCCUUCUACAUCCUCCUCCUCCUCCUCCUCCUCCUCCUGCUUUCUUUCCAUGUCGACCAUGCAAUGAGCACAAAUGACUAUAUUGACAGCCGCUGCAGCAUCACUACGAAUUACACGGACGGAAGCGCGUUUGAAGUAAUUAUGUGCAGCCUCUUCUCCACCUUCACCAACGACCCCGUCGACUCUUUUCCUAGUUUUUACAAAGCCACACUGGUUAAUGGAUCUGAUACAGUCUAUGGCCUGGUGCAGUGCAGGAGUGACAUUGGCCAGGAUAUCUGCAAGAAGUGCAUCUCUAAUUCCACCCAACAAGUCAUCAAAUACUGCCCCAACGCAAUGGAUGUCAUCGUGUGGUAUGAAAAGUGCCAGUUGCGCUACUCCAAUACCAACUUCUUUGGUCACCUUAAUGUGAAGGAUUAUGGUUCUUGGAAUUGGAUCGAAGAUAAAAUGGAACACCCCAAAGCCUUUAACGAAAAGUUGGGUAGUCUGCUGAAGAAUCUCACUGAUCAAGCGACGACAGUGCCUAAUUCAAUGCUUUCAAUGUUUCCAAUGUCCAUGUUUGCUACGGGCAACAUCACCUACGAUGAUCUACAGACUAUAUACAGGAUGGUGCAGUGCACAGGAUACAGCCGUGCUGAUUGCAAGCAGUGUUUGAAUGGCACCAGGUUCCGGAUCCCAACAACUUGCCACAACGCACACGGCUGUAAAAUUGCCACGGGAAGUUGCCAUGUGAGGUACGAUAUGGAGCUCUUUUAUGGUACCCCAGCAACUCCAAAGCCUAAAUCAAAUUCAAGACAAAGACCAUCAACCCAAUCCUCUAAUUCACUACCUCCAAGACCAAGCCCAUCUCCUCUACCACCUCCAUCGGAUUCAAGCCCUCCAUCAAAUGGUGCAUCCAACACUAUGUCAGGCAAAAAACACAUGUAUAUCAUAAUUGUCAUCUCCGUCUUGAUGAUUGUGGCUCUUAUUACUUGCUUAAUUUGCGGCUUUUACUGGGGGGGACAGAAUUAUGUUGCCUUUAGAGAAAGAAGUUGAAGCCUUGGUAGAUUGCAGAGCAACGAGGAAGAAGACCAUGGUUUAGAACGACAAGCUUUGAGGAGAGCAGAUGCGAUCCAUGGUGCAACACUCGAUUUGGCUAUCGUCAGAGCUGCCACCAAUGAUUUUGCACCGAAAAAUAAGCUUGGAGAGGGAGGAUUCGGUGCAGUUUACAGGGGCCAACUACCGGAUGGUCAAGAAAUAGCUGUAAAGAGGCUGUCGUGCAAUACAGGGCAUGGUCCGAAGCAAUUCGACAAUGAGGUGCAGACACUCACUAAACUUCAACACAGAAAUCUUGUCCAACUUUUAGGAGGCUCUAUGGAAGGUGAAGAGAAGAUACUUAUCUAUGAAUAUGUCCCCAACGGUAGUCUGGACAAUUAUCACUUUGGGGAGCCGACCAAGCGUAUGCAAUUGGAUUGGCCAGUACGUUUCAAGCUCAUAAAUGGCAUAGCCAGAAGAUUUAUGUAUCUCGUCUGCGAAUUGUUCACAGGGAUCUGAAAGAAAGCAACAUUUUAUUAGAUAAAGACAUGAACCCCAAGAUCUCAGAUUUCGGCACUGCAAAGAUCGUUGAGACAGACCAAACACAAACCGAAACACUUGAGAUUUUGGGAACUCGUGGAUAUAUGGCACCUGAGUAUCUUCUUGAAGGAAGGGUGUGAGUAAAGAUAGAUGUUUACAGCUUUGGUGUUUUUCUGCUGGAGAUGAUAAGUGGAAAUAAGAAUUUCUCCUUAAUCCAACAAGAGACUGAUGAAAAUCUAUUAAAUUAUGUGAGUCAUGGUAGGAUACUUGUGCAGAUACCGACCCUACGUACUCGCUUGAUUGGUUGGAAACCAUGUGGACCAUUUCUAAUGGCUGGGCACUAGAGUUGAAGUUCACGAAAUGAAACCCCAUCUGUGCUGUAGUCAGUACUCACAGUUCAAGAAAGCGCUAGGACAAGACGGUGGAUAGAGAACGGAGAACGUGGACGCAUCUGUGGUCACACUCAGAUUUUUAGAACCAGUGUACAUUUUGCUCACCAAGAGUAAAAACCAGCCAAAAUAUGAAGAACGGCCACAUGAAAAAUGGGCAUCUUUUGAGAAGCGUCCUCCUCUUCACUGUACAAAGAAUAUCAAGUCAAAGUGAAGGCAGACCCGAGUAGGC